rnacentral:rRNA from 1 species
UACGUAGGUGGCAAGCGUUGUCCGGAUUUAUGGGGCGUAAAGAGCGCGCAGGCGGUCGGAAAAGUCGAAUGUGAAAGCCCCCGGCUCAACUGGGGAGGGUCAUUCGAUACUGUUCGACUCGAAGGCAGGAGAGGGAAGUGGAAUUCCCGGUGUAGUGGUGAAAUGCGUAGAUAUCGGGAGGAACACCAGUGGCGAAGGCGACUUCCUGGCCUGUUCUUGACGCUGAGGCGCGAAAGCUAGGGGAGCAAACGGG